UACGUAGGGGGCAAGCGUUGUCCGGAUUUAUUGGGCGUAAAGCGCUCGCAGGUGGUGCGUCGCGUCGUGCGUGAAAGGCCCCGGCUCAACUGGGGAGCGUCGUGCGAUACGGGCGGACUAGAGGCCAGUAGGGGGAUGCGGAAUUCCGGGUGUAGUGGUGGAAUGCGUAGAGAUCCGGAGGAACACCAGCGGCGAAGGCGGCAUCCUGGACUGGUCCUGACACUCAGGAGCGAAAGCGUGGGGAGCGAGUCCGG
rnacentral:rRNA from 1 species